rnacentral:lncRNA from 1 species
GCCGAGGGAUGACGUUUGAAGGUAUAGAAAUUUCUAAACAAAGAAACAGUCGGUCGAACUUCAGCUAAGCUAUAGAGCGAAAGAAAUCCUAUCAGAAAUCUAAAGAAGUUCAGCACUACAGAAACUAAAGAAAUGUUUAAGAAGCGAAAGAGAGCAAUAACAAAAGGUGGAAGUGGAAGUCGAUGUCCGACACAGAAAGCUUCUUGGUAUAAACAGAAGCAGCC